GGGCCCCUGAUGCAGCUCUUGGCUGCAUUGGCGACAUGGCCGACACCCCCAGAGACGCUGGGCUGAAGCAGGCGCCCGCGCCCCGGAACGAGAAGGCCCCCGCAGACUUCGGCUACGUGGGGAUUGACUCCAUCCUGGAGCAGAUGCACAGGAAGGCCAUGAAGCAGGGCUUCGAGUUCAACAUCAUGGUGGUCGGGCAGAGUGGCUUGGGGAAGUCCACCUUGAUCAACACCCUCUUCAAGUCCAAAAUUAGCCAGAAGUCGGUGCAGCCCACCUCGGAGGAACGCAUCCCCAAGACCAUUGAGAUCAAGUCCAUCACGCAUGAUAUUGAAGAGAAGGGCGUCCGCAUGAAGCUGACGGUCAUUGACACACCAGGGUUCGGGGACCACAUCAACAAUGAGAACUGCUGGCGGCCGAUCAUGAAGUUCAUCAACGACCGGUACGAGAAAUACCUGCAGGAGGAGGUCAACAUCAACCGGAAGAAGCGCAUCCCGGACACGCGCGUCCACUGCUGCCUGUACUUUAUCCCCGCCACCGGCCACUCCCUCAGGCCCCUGGACAUCGAGUUUAUGAAGCGCCUCAGCAAAGUUGCGAACAUUGUUCCUGUCAUCGCCAAGGCCGACACGCUGACCCUGGAGGAGAAGGUCUACUUCAAACAGCGGAUCACCGCGGACCUGCUGUCCAACGGCAUCGACGUGUACCCCAGAAGGCGUUUGAGGAGGACUCGGAGGACCGGCUGGUGAAUGAGAAGUUUCGAGAGAUGAUCCCGUUCGCCGUGGUGGGCAGUGACCAUGAGUACCAAGUGAAUGGGAAGAGGAUCCUUGGAUGGAAAACCAAAUGGGGCACCAUCCAAGUUGAGAACACCUCCCACUGUGAGUUUGCCUACCUUCGGGACCUCCUUAUCAGGACGCACAUGCAGAACAUCAAGGACAUCACCAGCAGCAUCCACUUCGAAGCGUACCGGGUGAAGCAUCUGCACGAAGGCAGCCAUGCCAUGUCCAACGGCAUCGAGGAGAAGUGGCCCGAAGCCCAGGAGAUGUAGACCCACCCUGCCCCCGGGACCCUGCCCCCCAGUCCUUUCCAGCACCACCCCCAGGCCCGCCCACAUGCCCCAUUUUAUUUUAUAUAAUUUUCUCCACUUGUCAUCGUUCUCUGCCCCUUUACACG